GGGACCCCGCUCGGGGAGCAGCGGGGCCCUUCUGCUCUAAUCUAGCUUCCGUACCCACGCCUUAGGAACUAGCCGAGUUCGAAAAACUCUCGGAUCAGGUGAAGAUCAGUGAGGAAGGUCAAGGGAUUGGUUCCAAAAUAAUCAAAAAGGUGGCUGAGGUGGCCUUGGAUAAGGGCUGCUCCCAAUUCCGCCUGGCCGUCCUGGACUGGAACCAGAGGGCUAUGGACUUGUACAAGGCCUUAGGAGCCCAAGAUCUGACGGAAGCUGAGGGCUGGCACUUCUUCUGCUUUCAAGGAGAGGCAAUGAGAAAGUUGGCAGGAAAGUGACGCCAUCCCUAGGGGGAUCUCUCUCUUGAGUUUCUCCUUCCCCACCAGCUCAAGCACUCUUCAGAGACUACGUCCACAGACACUGACGCUGAGGCCUCCCUGGAGGAAGGAGGGUUGGGGGUGCCUAUCCUCAAGUAUUGGAAGAGCAGAAUUGAGGGAGAGACCUUUCUUCCUUGUUGAGGGUGAAAAAUAAAUAAGAAAUAAGAAUUACAUGUC
rnacentral:sRNA from 1 species